CUCCUCCACCCCAGUGACUGGAGGCCUGGGGUCCCUGGAGGUGACCUUAUUGAGCUGGUCGUGCCUGUGCCUGCUCCUCAGCGGGGUUUUGCUUAUAUGGUGCCUUUGCAGGAAAGCCAAGAGACACCAGAGAGAGGAGAUGGGCCAGACACCCUCAGCUCCUCCAGGGACAUGCUGCCAGGACGACUCCUGCUGCAAGACCUACGAGCUCAUCUGUCGGCUGAAGGAAAAUCCUGACUUGAUGAAGAAGUAUCUGAGGCACCUGCACAGCUGCUACCUGCAGGAGGACAUUCUGCAGAUAGAAGAAGGAAAUGCCCUAAGACUUGGAAGAGGAGGAGGCACAUUUCUCUGACAAGACAGCCACAGAUCCCUGAAGGCUGGGGCCCAAGGACAGGGCAUUGUAGGAGAUGCAGAGCAAGCAAUGCUGUCCCUGCACGCUAGGACAUCCCCAACAAUUAGCAUGUUAUGCGAAACCAGCUCCAAGCUAAAUGUAGUAUCAAAUGUGCGUUCAAAGACAGAGGCAAGUUACUCUGCACAGGGAUGUUUCAAAGUGCCUUCCAACCAAAGAGAAAUCGCACUCAUGUGAGUUCUUCAGGCUUCUCCAAAGAAGCAGGAAAAAAGGACUGCAGCAGCAGCAUUUAAAGCGCAGUCACAAAAUCAGAUGCCUCCUACACUGCCCAUGAAUAACAUUCCUGUAACUAGCCCCACAGGAUCAAGCGAGGCUGCUCUCACUUCUUGAGUUAGACAAAUUCAAAUGCCACACUCCCUCCUUUCAUGUUACAUUAGAUUUUCUUCACCUUGCUACAAUAUUAAAUAAAUAUUCUCUCAGA